UACAGAGGGUGCGAGCGUUAUCCGGAAUUACUGGGUUUAAAGGGUGCGUAGGCGGCUUUGUAAGUCAGGAGUGAAAGUUUGCGGCUCAACCGUAAAAUUGCUUUUGAUACUGCGAGGCUAGAAUUAGGAUGAGGUCAGCGGAAUGUGGCAUGUAGCGGUGAAAUGCAUAGAUAUGCCAUAGAACACCAAUUGCGAAGGCAGCUGGCUAGACCUAUAUUGACGCUGAGGCACGAAAGCGUGGGGAGCGAACAGGAUUAGAUACCCUCGUAGUCC
rnacentral:rRNA from 1 species